AUUGAACGCUGGCGGCAUGCUUUACACAUGCAAGUCGAACGGUAACAGGCCUUCGGGCGCUGACGAGUGGCGAACGGGUGAGUAAUGCAUCGGAACGUGCCCAGUCGUGGGGGAUAACGCAGCGAAAGCUGUGCUAAUACCGCGUACGAUCUAUGGAUGAAAGCGGGGGACCGUAAGGCCUCGCGCGAUUGGAACGGCUGAUGUCAGAUUAGGUAGUUGGUGGGGUAAAGGCUCACCAAGCCAACGAUCUGUAGCUGGUCUGAGAGGACGACCAGCCACACUGGAACUGAGACACGGUCCAGACUCCUACGGGAGGCAGCAGUGGGGAAUUUUGGACAAUGGGCGCAAGCCUGAUCCAGCAAUGCCGCGUGCAGGAAGAAGGCCUUCGGGUUGUAAACUGCUUUUGUACGGAACGAAACGGCGAGCUCUAAUACAGUUUGCUAAUGACGGUACCGUAAGAAUAAGCACCGGCUAACUACGUGCCAGCCGCCGCUGUAAGAC
rnacentral:rRNA from 1 species